rnacentral:tRNA from 1 species
UCCCUGGAGGACUAGUGGUUAGGCCACAGCGUUCUCACCGCUGUGGCCCAGGUUCGAUUUACAGCCAGGGAA